UACGUAGGGACCAAGCGUUGUCCGGAAUCAUUGGGCGUAAAGAGCGUGUAGGCGGCUUGUUAAGUCUUGUGUGAAAUCUCGGGGCUCAACCCCGAGCGGUCAUGAGAAACUGGCAGGCUAGAGUGCGGGAGAGGAGAGUGGAAUUCCUGGUGUAGCGGUGAAAUGCGCAGAUAUCAGGAAGAACACCCGUGGCGAAAGCGGCUCUCUGGAACGGUACUGACGCUGAGACGCGAAAGCGUGGGGAGCGAACAGG
rnacentral:rRNA from 1 species